CCUACGGGUGGCAGCAGUGGGGGAUAUUGCACAAUGGGGGGAACCCUGAUGCAGCGACGCCGCGUGGGUGAAGAAGCGCCUCGGCGCGUAAAGCCCUGUCAGCAGGGAAGAAAAUGACGGUACCUGAGGAAGAAGCCCCGGCUAACUACGUGCCAGCAGCCGCGGUAAUACGUAGGGGGCAAGCGUUAUCCGGAUUUACUGGGUGUAAAGGGAGCGUAGACGGCGAUGCAAGUCUGGAGUGAAAGGCGGGGGCCCAACCCCGGGACUGCUCUUGAAACUGGGUGGCUGGAGUGCAGGAGGGGCAAGCGGAAUUCCUGGUGUAGCGGUGAAAUGCGUAGAUAUCAGGAGGAACACCAGUGGCGAAGGCGGCCUGCUGGACUGCAACUGACGUUGAGGCCCGAAAGCGUGGGGAGCAAACAGGAUUAGAUACCCUGGUAGUC
rnacentral:rRNA from 1 species